AGAGUUUGAUCCUGGCUCCGAACGAACGUUGGCGGCAGGCUUAACACAUGCAAGUCGGAGGUGAGCCGGGACUUCCGUCCCGGGGAAACUGGCGCACGGGUGAGUAACGCGUGGGAAUCUACCCCGGGGUGGGGAAUAACCGCUGGAAACGGCGGCUAAUACCGCAUACGCCUUGAGAGGGAAAGCUUUAUGCGCCCUGGGAUGAGCCCGCGUCCGAUUAGCUUGUUGGUGAGGUAACGGCUCACCAAGGCUUCCAUCCGUAGCUGGUCUGAGAGGAUGAUCAGCCACACUGGGACUGAGACACGGCCCAGACUCCUACGGGAGGCAGCAGUGGGGAAUAUUGGACAAUGGGGGCAACCCUGAUCCAGCCAUGUCGCGUGCGUGAAGAAGGCCUUAGGGUUGUAAAGCGCUUUCAGCGGGGAAGAUGAUGACGGUACCCGCAGAAGAAGCCCCGGCUAACUCCGUGCCAGCAGCCGCGGUAAUACGGAGGGGGCAAACGUUGUUCGGAAUUACUGGGCGUAAAGGGCGCGUAGGCGGAUUAUCAAGUCAGAGGUGAAAGCCCUGGGCUCAACCUAGGAACUGCCUUUGAAACUGAUAGUCUUGAGUCCGAGAGAGGAUGGCGGAAUUCCCAGUGUAGAGGUGAAAUUCGUAGAUAUUGGGAAGAACACCAGUGGCGAAGGCGGCCAUCUGGCUCGGUAC
rnacentral:rRNA from 1 species